AAGGUUGAGCCUGCCCAAUGGUUUCAUAAAGUGAAAUUAAAUGGUUGCAGCUAAAUGCUGUACUAAGGUAGCGUAAUAAGUUGCCUCUUAAUUGGGGGCUAGUAUGAAGGGUUUGACGUAAAAAAAUUUGUCUCCAAGGUAAAAAUAUGAAGUUUUCUUUUUAGUGAAAAGUCUGAAAUAAUUAUAAAAGACGAGAAGACCCUGUCGAGCUUGAUAAACUGUAUAGUUUAAGAGUAUAUAAAUAAGUUUAGCUGGGGCAGCUUGGAACAAAACAAAAGUUUCGAUUGUAUAUGAAGAUCCGGUUUAAUAUCGAAUAAAGAAAAAGCUACCGCAGGGAUAACAGCGUAAUUCUUUCUGAGAGGACUAAUUGAAGAAAGAGAUUGCGACCUCGAUGUUGGAUUAAGAUUACUUUCUGGCGCAGCCGUUAGGAUAGUAAGACUGUUCGUCUUUUGAAAUCUUACGUGAUCUGAGUUCAGACCGGA
rnacentral:rRNA from 1 species